rnacentral:lncRNA from 13 species
AAAUAUUAAAGAAAAGGGUAAACACAACACUGGACUGAACCUCCUAAUUGUCAAACUAAUAUUAAUGUACAACAAUAUAGAAGAUACAUGACUAGAGGUUAUGCAAUAUGGGUGUAUAUCCACUGCACGCUUCUUAGGUGUGUAAUUGACAUGACCAAGGAGCUAUUGAAAUUUGACAUUUUGAAAAAUUUAUGUAAAAUUUUGUGAGAUGAAGAUUGACAAACUAAAGGGUGUGCAAUAUAGAAGGGCAGUCAGUGGACAUUCGGAAUCUUGUUUGAAGUCAUUAGGUCACAUGACCAAGAGGCUAUUGACAUUUUUUAUCUUGAAAAAUUCAUGUCAAAUCAUGUGAGAUGAAAAUUGACAAACUAAAGGGUGUGCAAUAUAGAAGGGUAGUCCGUGGACAUUCUAAAUCUUUUUUGAAGUCAUUAGGUCAUAUGACCAAUGAGCUAUUGAAAUUCAAAAAUGUAAAUAAAUAAUAAAAAAUUGUGCGAGAUGUAAAUCGACAAAAAAAAGUGUGUGCAAUGUGUGUCUAUGCCAUCGGGUUAGCUACAACCAGUUUAGAAAGUUUUAGGAGUAAUCGUUAAAGAGCUAUUGAAAUUUGAAAAAAUUGAUUUGUUAUUAUGUUGACGGUCCCUAACUGCUGUUGGUGGAAAACUACAGGCGAAUAUCUGUCGAAUAUCCAACCUGAAACUGCCUUUACCUCGGUCCAUUAGGAGAGGAAAGAGGCUACUGAAGUUGAAGCAGCGAAUUCUGAUUGUGUGUGAAUUAUGCGAAAAAUAUGUACUUUUAAUACAAUGGUUUAGGCUAACGCAUACAAAGAGGAAAGUCAACCGUUUCUAAAUAAUCUGAGGGACAACUAAAAUAUUUUCAUCCCUACAUCGUCUCCCAGCCGACUGAGCUACAAUGAUCUCCGCAGAUGCCAUCUUUUAGAAGAAAAAGAGCCACGCUGGUUUACAGAGACCUGACUAGAGGCGUGAUAGCGAGUACACCCCUGCCAUCAACUUGGAUCGUCAGGGCUUUUCAUCCCAUGUGUCCCGGUGGGCCUACGAUGGGAGUGGGGGAGACAAGAUGACCAUGACUGUCACAGCCAGUACAACCGUCUUCUGAUUGUUGUUGACGUUAGAGGUAGGCCUUAUAUCAAAAUUGUAAACUAAGACAUCUGGCUCCUUUACCGUCUUGCAAACUGUAUCAAAGCAUCAAGUGUAGCAGCACCAUGCUCAGAGACAGUUUCUCCCUCCAAGCCAUAAGACUGUUGAUGAAAACUGAACUGAAUCUUUGCUGCUCUGGCACCUACUGCACUGUACUUAAUAUCCAGUAGUUAUCUACUUCAUGGAGCUGGUUGAGAGAAUGCCAAGAGUGGGAAAAGCUGUCAUCAAGGCAAAAAGUGGCUACUUGGAAGAAUCUCAAAUAUAAAAUAUAUUGAGAUUUGUUUAACACUUUUUUGGUUACUACAUGAUUCCAUAUGUGUUAUUUCAUAGUUUUGAUGUCUUCACUAUUAUUCUACAGUGUAGAAAAUAGUUAAAAAUAAAGAAAAACACUUCAAUGAGUAGGUUUGUUCAAACUUUUGACUGGUACUGUAUCUUAAUUCAGCGUUAUAUAUGGACCAGUAUUCAUAUCACAGACUUCACGUGAGAAGUGGACCAUAAUCAGCUAAGAAAUCACAAAGGCAUAAUACAUGAUUACACAAAAGGCAAGCCCCGUUGCAGAUGAUACUGACUUCACAUUAUUCACAUCCAGUCAUAGAUGCAAUAAGGCAUGUUUCAGUAUAAGCUUUGUGAUCUUAGCCAUUAACACACUAAAAACCUACUCCACUGAUUAUUGUUAGGACUCACUAGUGAGGUAGUUUCCAUGAUAUGUUGGCUGAGGCGGUACACUAUUGUUCUGUUACUGUGUUGUUAUUGACAUGGUGAUUUUGCUUCUGUUGGUAAAUAACCUUGUAACAAUGGGCUGUAAAAUCAGAACAUUGAACAAACAGAAAUUUGACCUGGUGACAUGGUGCUGAUAUACAGUAUAUAGAUUAUAAGAACAUUAUAACAAUAUUACAAGGGCGUAUGUAUUCAAGUAUGUUGUACUUGGAGUAGGGUGAUGAUCAACUUGUAAGUUGCACCAAAGAGCUAGAGAAGGAGCUUGAAAAUUCAAAUCAAAUUGUAUUGGUCACACACACAUGGUUAGCAGAUGUUAAUGCGAGUGUAGCGAAAGGCUUGUGCUUCUAGUUCCGACCAUGCAGUAAUAUCUAAGUGAGUACAAUGCAGAUGGCUAUAUUAUGCCCCCCUGUCCCCAGCUCUACCCUCCCGUGUUUGGCAAUGGAUGGUAACUUUAACGGAAUGUAGAUAUGAAGCCACAUUUUUACUCCUCAAAGACAUGAGAGAUCCACCGCACCACCUUCACGACCUCCCUCCACUCAGAGAGCACUGACAGUUCACAGCUUCUCAGUUCCACCUGCUAUAGGACAAAGCCAUUCCAACUAUUUCCUACAUUCUGCUAUCAGACUAUACUGGUAGAGAUACAUUUAACUUCUACAUGAUUCUAUGAUAUAUUCAAAUCAAAUCAAAUGUUAUUGUUUGCAUACACUUAUUAAGCAGAUCUUAUUGUCUUAGGUGUAGUGAAAUGUUUUUAUUCCUAGCUCCAACAGUGCGGUAGUAUCUAACCAUUCACAACAAUACACACAAAUAUCUAAUUAAAAUUAUGGAAUUAAGAAAUAUUAGGAUGAGCAAUGUCGGAGUGGCAUUGACUAAAAUACAGGAGAA